GGGCAUGCUUCCGAGAACCCAGGGUGGGGUGGGUGUUCAUAGGUGAGCUUGCUCAGAAGAGGUGUUCAAUUAAUAUUUGACAAAUGCUUCAGGGGUGAAUGGUAGCCCUCUGAUUACAUAAGACUUGUGCCUCUAAAUAACACAGAGAGGUGAAGGAAAGGAAGCUCGCUCCCUGGAAGUCUCUGGAAUCAGGACAGAACACAGUUUUCUUAGAGUUAGAAAGUCCAAGGUUUUAAGAAAAGAGCCUAAAGAAUUAAGCUGGUUUCUGGAUGUGGUCAAAGGUACCUCUACCCACCCCACCAGCCACCCAGACACUCAUUCCUGAAGAGGGAGAGGGCAAGCAGUUAUGGAGACUGAAGUCCCAUGACAAACUGCAAGUGGGAGACCCUUGGAUGCUGGCAGUGUGACUUCGGCCAAGUCCCAAAGACUUCAUAACUAAGGAAGCCUGUGGUUCCUUAGACUAGGUCCAGGGUCAAAGGUCUCCUGAGAAAACUGGAUAGGGAAAGCAUAGGUAUAAAUCUUGGAGUUCAAAAGCAGGAGAAGAAUGCCCAGCUCCUGGACAUAAAUGAACAAUUUGUCCUUUC